UAAUGCUUGGGAAUCUGGCUUAUGGAGGGGGAUAACUACGGGAAACUGUAGCUAAUACCGCGUAGUAUCGAGAGAUGAAAGUGCGGGACCGCAAGGCCGCAUGCCAUGAGAUGAGCCCAAGUGGGAUUAGGUAGUUGGUGGGGUAAAGGCCUACCAAGCCUGCGAUCUCUAGCUGGUCUGAGAGGAUGGCCAGCCACACUGGAACUGAGACACGGUCCAA
rnacentral:rRNA from 1 species